rnacentral:rRNA from 1 species
AACGAACGCUGGCGGCAUGCCUAACACAUGCAAGUCGAACGAGACCUUCGGGUCUAGUGGCGCACGGGUGCGUAACGCGUGGGAACCUGCCCUUAGGUUCGGAAUAACUCCCCGAAAGGGGUGCUAAUACCGGAUAAUGUCUUCGGACCAAAGAUUUAUCGCCUUUGGAUGGGCCCGCGUUGGAUUAGCUAGUUGGUAGGGUAAAAGCCUACCUAGGCGACGAUCCAUAGCUGGUCUGAGAGGAUGAUCAGCCACACUGGGACUGAGACACGGCCCAGACUCCUACGGGAGGCAGCAGUGGGGAAUAUUGGACAAUGGGCGAAAGCCUGAUCCAGCAAUGCCGCGUGAGUGAUGAAGGCCUUAGGGUUGUAAAGCUCUUUUACCCGGGAUGAUAAUGACAGUACCGGGAGAAUAAGCGCCGGCUAACUCCGUG